rnacentral:rRNA from 1 species
AUUCCCCUAGUAACUGCGAGUGAAGCGGGAAAAGCUCAAAUUUAAAAUCUGGUGGUCUUUAGCCAUCCGAGUUGUAAUUUAGAGAAGCAUCUUCCGCGCUGGACUGUGCACAAGUCUCCUGGAAUGGAGCGUCAUAGAGGGUGAGAAUCCCGUCUUUGGCACAGACAUGUCAGGGCUUUUGUGAUGUGCUCUCAAAGAGUCGAGUUGUUUGGGAAUGCAGCUCAAAAUGGGUGGUGAACUCCAUCUAAAGCUAAAUAUUGGCGAGAGACCGAUAGCGAACAAGUACCGUGAGGGAAAGAUGAAAAGCACUUUGGAAAGAGAGUGAAACAGUACGUGAAAUUGUUGAAAGGGAAAUGCUUGAAGUCAGUCGUGUUGACCAAGACUCAGCCUUGCCUUGGCUUGGUGUAAUUCUUGGCUGACAGGUCAGCAUCAAUUUUGUCUCUUGGAUAAUGGUAAGGGAAAUGUGACACCUUUAUGGUGUGUUAUAGUCUCUUGUCGCAUGCAAGGGUUGAGAUUGAGGAACUCAGCACGCACCUUUUGGGUGUUGGGGCUUUGCUCACAAUACGUGCUUAGGAUGUUGGCAUAAUGGCUUUAAACGACCCGUCUUGAAACACGGACCAAGGAGUCUAACAUGCAUGCGAGUGUUUGGGUGGAAAACCCGUGCGCGUAAUGAAAGUGAAAGUUGGGACCUUUGUCGUGAAGGGCACUGACGCCCGGACCAGACCUUCUGUGACGGCUCUGCGGUAAAGCAUGUAUGUUAGGACCCGAAAGAUGGUGAACUAUGCCUGAAUAGGGUGAAGCCAGAGGAAACUCUGGUGGAGGCUCGUAGCGAUUCUGACGUGCAAAUCGAUCGUCAAAUUUGGGUAUAGGGGCGAAAGAC